rnacentral:misc_RNA from 1 species
CAGCCGUAACAAGGUUUCCGUAGGUGAACCUGCGGAAGGAUCAUUAAAGAGUUAGGGUCCCCAGGGCCCGACCUCCCACCCUUUGCUGUCAAAAACCUGGUUGCCUCGGCGCACCGUGGGGUCCGCCUCACGGGCGCCAGAGGAUCAAUCCAACUCUUUUAUAACCGUACGUCCGAGUAAAGAUUUAAUCAAAUAAAAA